GAUAUGUCAUGUUAUAAAUCUUAUAAAAUGAAAAAUUGUUCUUUUAGCCCCUUUAAAAAAUUUACUUUUUCUCUUCCCCUUCCUCCUGUCUUCUUCUUCUUCUUCUCUUAUUUUCCUUUCACAAAAAGGAAACUCAGAGAAGAGUCCCAACAGAAGGCCACUGAGUGUUGAAACUCAGAGAGGGAAUGGAAAUGGUAAUGUCGAGCAGAGAAGAGUCUUUCCGGUUCAGUCGCCCCAGGUUAAUGUGAGAAGAACCGGAUUAGAACAGACGACGAAUAGAUUACCCGGAAACAGGAAACCAACGGCUGAGAUUUAUGAUAAAGAAGAGAAGGUAUUUAUUCCAGCGGAGGAUCAAACAUGUUUCAGAGAGUAGCAUUAGCACUUCUUCUCAAACUGAUACGGAGAGGUUGAAGGUGGAGGACCCUUUUGGAAAGAUGUGAUAAGCUGCUUCAGAGCAUUGCGGAGAGCCCGGUCCUCGUACUCGAUUCGUCGUUCUACAAAGAGGAACCGUCUCCUUCCCCUAUUAUGAAACGGAGCAUCGAUUUCAAAGGUGAAAAUGAUGGGGUUACAAGCAUGUGAUUCUGAUUCAAGUUGAAAACGCCCGUGACAGAAAAGGGUUCAUUCCAUCAGAGCUUGGCCUUGCAAUCCUGGAUUCAAUAUCCAUCCUUCACUUUUUCUCCAGAAAUCUACACACUUUUGUGUUAUUCAUUAGCUUCUCACUUAAUAAAAUUUGGAUUUUAGUCUCAUGACCCCAAUAUACAAAAUCUUAUUUCAUAAUUUAACUUAUUUAAGAAUUCA